rnacentral:rRNA from 1 species
UACGGAGGGUGCGAGCGUUGUCCGGAAUCACUGGGCGUAAAGGGCGCGUAGGCGGCCUGAUAAGUAGGGGGGUGAAAUCCUGCGGCUUAACCGCAGGGCUGCCUUCUAAACUGUCAGGCUAGAGCACGGUAGAGGCAGAUGGAAUUCCCGGUGUAGCGGUGGAAUGCGUAGAGAUCGGGAAGAACAUCAGUGGCGAAGGCGGUCUGCUGGGCCGUUGCUGACGCUGAGGCGCGACAGCGUGGGGAGCAAACAGG